rnacentral:tRNA from 1 species
GCGUCGGUAGUUCAGUGGUAGAAUGCUCUCCUGCUACGCGGGCGGCCUGGGUUCGACGCCUGGCCGAGGCA